rnacentral:rRNA from 1 species
CCGAUGGAGGGGGAUAACUACUGGAAACGGUAGCUAAUACCGCAUAACGUCGCAAGACCAAAGAGGGGGACCUUAGGGCCUCUUGCCAUCGGAUGUGCCCAGAUGGGAUUAGCUAGUAGGUGGGGUAAAGGCUCACCUAGGCGACGAUCCCUAGCUGGUCUGAGAGGAUGACCAGCCACACUGGAACUGAGACACGGUCCAG